GCCUUUAUGAUUACCACAAGCUAUACUAUCAAGUUUGGCAAGGAAUAUGGUCUCUAUUUUCACGGAAUUUUCUCCAAUGGCUAAUCCCUCGUUUGAGCUUGGCCGCAUUAUAGAUCUUGCUCUAACUCUAAGAGAAAGUCGUGCAGUAGAUACAGUCAUACAGAGUGGCUCUCUGUUCUAGCCGGAAAACUGGUCUGGUCUGUUCGCAUUGGACAAUGGAGGAUAGGUUUAA